rnacentral:rRNA from 1 species
UCAGUAACACGUAGUCAACAUGCCCAAGGGGACGUGGAUAACCUCGGGAAACUGAGGAUUAAACCGCGAUAGGUCACUACUUCUGGGAAUGGGUAAUGGACCCAAACCUUAUAUUGGCCCCUGGAUUGGACUGCGGCCGAUCAGGCUGUUGGUGAAGGUAAUUGGGCCACCAAACCUUGUAACCCGGUACCGGGCUCUGAGAGGAGGAGCCCGGAGAUGGGCACUGAGACAAGGGGCCAGGGCCCUUAUUGGGGCGCAGCAGGCCGCGAAACCUCUGCAAUAGGCGAAAGCUUGACAGGGUUACUCUGAGUGAUUUCCGUUAAGGAGAUCUUUCGGCACUCUAACAAUGGUGCAGAAUAAGGGGUGGGCAAGUCUGGUGCCA